rnacentral:rRNA from 1 species
AUUGAACGCUGGCGGCAUGCUUUACACAUGCAGGUCGAACGGCAUCGCUGGCUUUGUCCUUGCGGCGAAUCGCGAACGGGUGAGUAAUACAUCGGAACGUGCGCAGUAUUCGUGGAUAGGUCGGCGAAAGGCGGAUUAAUAUCGCAUACGACCUGAGUGUGAAAGCUAUCGAUCUUCGGACCUCGCGCUAUUGCAACGGCCUAUUAAAGAGUAGUUAGUUGGUUGGGUAAAGGACUAGCGAGGCGACGAUCUGUGGCUGGUCUGAGAGGACGAUCAGCCACACUGCGAAUGAGACACGGCCCAGACUCCUACGGGAGGCAGCAGUGGGGAAUUUUCGAGAAUGGGCGGAAGGCUGAUACAGGAAUGGCGCGUGUGUGAUGAAGGCCUACGGGUUGUAAAGCAAUUUUGGCGGGAAAGAAAAGGACUGUGCCAAUACAAAAGUUAGAUGACGGUACCCGAAGAAUAAGCACCGGCUAACUACGUG